GACAGAGGGUGCAAACGUUGUUCGGAAUUACUGGGCGUAAAGCGUGCGCAGGCGGCCUUGCAAGUCGGGCGUGAAAUCCCACGGCUCAACCGUGGAAGUGCACUCGAAACUGCUUGGCUAGAGUCUUGGAGAGGAAGGCGGAAUGCUUGGUGUAGAGGUGAAAUUCGUAGAUAUCAAGCGGAACACCGGUGGCGAAGGCGGCCUUGCUGGACGAAUGACUGACGCUAAAACACGAAAGCGUGGGGAGCAAACAGG
rnacentral:rRNA from 1 species